rnacentral:misc_RNA from 1 species
UCUCCGUAGGUGAACCUGCGGAGGGAUCAUUACCGAGAGAGGGCCGUCAAAACGCCCGACCUCCCAACCCUUUGUUAAACCAAACCACGUUGCCUCGGGGGGCGACCCGGGCCCGUCGGCUCGGGGCCCCCGGUGGACAAUCUCAAAACACUGCAUCUUUGCGUCGGAUUACAAAGUUUAAUGAAUUAAAACUUUCAACAACGGAUCUCUUGGUUCUGGCAUCGAUGAAGAACGCAGC